CACAUAAUGAUUCUUCAAAAUAUGCACCAAACCGACCUUCGACUGCAACAAACCGAUGCGACUACCAAUACAGUUACGUGGUCCAGUGCCGAAAGGAAGGUAGGACAUAGGCUUAUGGGUUUUCUUAUUUUCGGCGCUGAAGCGUUCAGGAUCGAAAGUGUUCGGGUUGGGCCAAAACUGGAAUUAAAAAAUUGUGACAACCAUAAAAAUUGCUUGAAACUUC